rnacentral:rRNA from 1 species
AUGUUGUCGUCGAAGGAGCCCCUGGGUCCUGGACAUGCCUUUCCCGGCGACUGCUAUCCCAGCCAUCUGCCCAGCUUCGAAAUCCCCACAGAUCUUUUUGGUCCCUUUCCCCGGCAUGUUCAUGAGACUCGCGAGGAGGCCCCCAUCGAUGUGUUUAGAUUCGAAAUCGCCCCAGAUCUAUUCGGUUCUACCCACCAUCGUCUCCUUGAUGCGUUCGAGGAGGAGGAGGAGGAGGAGGUGGUGGUGGUGUUGGCGGAGAAGAAAGAGAGAGGGUUCCUCGAGAGCGAAUCAGAGUCUGAAUCUGAGUUGCCUAGCUGGGACGACAUUCUCGUGGGCGCUGGUGUUGAACCUGUUGAUGGCGUCAACUUGUCCGACUUGAUGGAUUACGAUCCGCUGGCAGUGGAUGCCGACAACGAGGAGACAAACUGCCCAGGGAAGAAAUUUCCCGAGGCAACAGCAGCGAAAGUAGACGAUAUAUGGAGUAGGAUUUACACCAGACGCAACAUCGAGUACCAGAAGAAGUGUGAGGAGAUUGAAGCAAGUGAAGAUGAGAAUGCCACAUUUCCUUCUUAUCCUCUCAAAAUACUCCCUGAGGCAACAGGUCUAUGUGUCUUGAGGGGCUUUUGCCACCACCGUGAAUAUAAAACCCAUGAUACUUCCACUACUAGAUCAAGUCUUGGGUUACGUGAUCCAAGACUGAUGCUACAGAUCUUUGCGAUGCAUUUAUCAAUCUCCGAAUCCUAUUCCUACCCCGUUAGCGUCUAUGGAAUUGUUGCUGUUCGGGAUGCCUUGGAGCCACUACGGAAUCUUGUGUUUAACCGUCCCUGCAGAGAUGAUGCUUUUACGGUUGACCAGGAUUCCUUAACCUUGCCUCUUUGUAGUCCUCGUCGAGGAAUGUAUAUAGUAAGGGACAGAGCAUUACUAGAAGUUGAUCUUUGGGUAAAGGAGGAAGGAGAUGGGUCAUCUGACAAACAGUUGCUUUCUUUGUAUGCUGAGUUUGAGGGGAUGUACGAGUUAGAUGAAAUGCUAGAUGGAGAGGUUAGUAGUGACCUUGGCAGCUUGGUCAUUGACUAUCUCUUGCUUGAUGAGAGUGUUGAGGCUGUAAUACAAGUCUCUGCAAAGAUUGACUGCCCUCAUCAUAUGAGAUUCACUGCAUUCACUAGUGGCUUUGAUGGUGAGAUUGUGCUGUUUGAUGAUAAGUUCUCUGGGAAUGGAAAACUGUUCCAGUAUGUUGUCGCGGUGAAGGCUGAGGGGAAAUUGGAUAUUUGCUUAAAAAUGGAGGAAUCAUUGUUUUGGUGGACUUUCCAGGAAGGAGCUGUUGGAGCUGUUAGGUUCCCGGAUGACUCAGUUUUAAAUUACGGGCAGUUUGAGGUGACGGUGCUUUUUGCUCCUAAGAAAUUUACCAUGGAUGACUGA